AACGAACGUUGGCGGCGUGGAUUAGGCAUGCAAGUCGAACGCGAAUCCCUGGGCAACUGGGGAGGAGAGUGGCGAAAGGGGCAGUAAGGCGUGGUUAACCUACCCUCCGUGCCGGGAUAGCUUCGGGAAACUGAAGGUAAUACCGUGCGACGCAGCGAGAUCGCAUGGUCUUGCUGCCAAAGGUCCGCCGCCGGGGGAGGGGCUCACGUGGUAUUAGCUAGACGGCGGGGUAACGGCCCACCGUGGCAAAGAUGCCUAGCAGGUGUGAGAGCACGACCUGGGCCACUGGCACUGAGACACUGGCCAGACACCUACGGGUGGCUGCAGUCGAGGAUCUUCGGCAAUGGGCGCAAGCCUGACCGAGCGACGCCGCGUGUGCGAUGAAGGCAUUCGGGGUGUAAAGCACUGUCGAGGGGGAGGAAGACGCAAGGUUGACCUAUCCCUGGAGGAAGCACGGGCUAAGUUCGUG
rnacentral:rRNA from 1 species